GUCUCAAAAAAAAAAAAAGACUGUCGUGUCCCAGGCUGAAAAAUGGGUGAGGGGAUGGGAAGGAGGUGCCAGAGCCUGGAGCUUGGAGCAAGGAGGUGGCUCUGUGGGCAGAGAGGACUGGCCCCAGCAAGGAGGAAGAUGGACUUGCAGGCUUCCCUGGCCUGGCUGGUGUGAAAACUGGAAAAACCAAUAGAGGGAAAAGGCCUGGGGCAAAGUGGAAGGCCAACAGGGGCGACAGUCGUAGGUAUCCUUUUCCUGCAGAGCUGGGGUGGGUGGGUCUGGGCCUCCCUUCCCAAGAGUCCUUCCAUCUGGUCCUGGUGACUUUCCCUCCCAGGAGGACCCAGGUCACAGCUGAGAUCACCAGCGGAGAGUCCCUGUCUGCCAAUAUCGAGUGGAAACUGACCUUGUGGACCACCUGUGGCCUCUCCAAGGAUGGCUAUGGAGGAUGGCAGGACUUGGUCUGCCUGGGAGGCAGUCGUGCCCAGGAGCAGAAGCCCCUGCAGCAGCUGUGGAACGCCAUCCUGCUGGUGGCCAUGCUCCUGUGCACAGGCCUCGUGGUCCAGGCCCAGCGGCAGGCGUCGCGGCAGAGCCAGCGGGAGCUCGGAGGCCAGGUGGGAGCCAGCCCCAGGGAGCCCCAGUGCCCUCAGCCCUUGGGCCUGCAAGACUGUGCCCGUCCUCUCCCCACAGGUGGACCUGUUUAAGCGCCGCGUGGUGCGGAGACUGGCAUCCCUCAAGACACGGCGCUGCCGGCUGAGCAGGGCAGCGCCGGGCCUCCCGGAUCCGGGUGCUGAGACCUGUGCCGUGUGCCUGGACUACUUCUGCAACAAGCAGUGGCUCCGGGUGCUGCCCUGUAAGCACGAGUUUCACCGAGACUGUGUGGACCCCUGGCUGAUGCUCCAGCAGACCUGCCCGCUGUGCAAAUUCAACGUCCUGGGGAACCGCUACCCCGAUGAUUAGCUGCCCAGCU
rnacentral:sRNA from 1 species